rnacentral:rRNA from 1 species
AACGAACGCUGGCGGCAUGCCUAACACAUGCAAGUCGAACGAGACCUUCGGGUCUAGUGGCGCACGGGUGCGUAACGCGUGGGAACCUGCCCUUAGGUUCGGAAUAACUCCCCGAAAGGGCUGCUAAUACCGGAUAAUGUCUUCGGACCAAAGAUUUAUCGCCUUUGGAUGGGCCCGCGUUGGAUUAGCUAGUUGGUAGGGUAAAAGCCUACCAAGGCGACGAUCCAUAGCUGGUCUGAGAGGAUGAUCAGCCACACUGGGACUGAGACACGGCCCAGACUCCUACGGGAAGCAGCAGUGGGGAAUAUUGGACAAUGGGCGAAAGCCUGAUCCAGCAAUGCCGCGUGAGUGAUGAAGGCCUUAGGGUUGUAAAGCUCUUUUACCCGGGAUGAUAAUGACAGUACCGGGAGAAUAAGCUCCGGCUAACUCCGUG